CGGCAAGAGCUCAAAUUUGAAAUCUGGCCCCUUUGGGGUCCGAGUUGUAAUUUGGAGAGGAUGCUUCGGGGGUGGUCCCUAUCUAAGUGCCCUGGAACGGGCCGUCAUAGAGGGUGAGAAUCCCGUCUGGGAUAGGCGGCCACGCCCGUGUGAAGCUCCUUCGA
rnacentral:rRNA from 1 species